rnacentral:lncRNA from 1 species
UGAAGCCAAUCAGAGUGCGCCACAUGUAUUAUUGAAACGCAGCGCUUCAUGAAGCGCGCGUUAUAUUUGAAUCCAGACGCGGUUCGAAUCCUGGCGCCAUCAUCUCACAUGUUGCCAUUUGUUUUUUUUUGCCAUUUAUGCUUUCAUGUUUCACCAUGCUUUGUUCUUGUUUUUUUAUUUUUUUCUCCAUGUUACAAAAUUCAUAACUUCUUG